rnacentral:snRNA from 1 species
GAACAUGUCGCCUAUUGAACCCGUUAAAAAGACGGUGACUAAAUGAGAUUUGCUUUAACCAUUAUUCUUUGUCAAAGUUUUGAAAUGAUGGUUGUUUUAUAUUGUUUAAAUUAAUCAUUGCGAAUACUAUACCAAUGAAAG